GUAUUAACGGGGAUUCCAGCCUCUGUAAUGUAAACAUUCCCCUUAGGCGUGGAAACUCUUGCUCUCCGAGUUGCAUGGAGUUCCCUGUUUUGCACCACAAAUCUAACCACAGCUUUCUGGGCAAGGUGUUCAGGAACCAAGAAGAAUGAAUCACUUUGGAAAAAAUGAAGGCGAAAUGCAAGUUCAUCUGUCACCAAAUCUGUAGCUGGUUGCGGGCACCCCUCCCCUCCCUAAUGGAAAAAGAAGAG